rnacentral:misc_RNA from 1 species
CUGUCAAAAUGGUUGUUUAUCUUUGGGACCGUGUUUUUUGUUAAAAUAAAUAGAUUUCACUAAGAAAAACAGCAAUAAUACUCAAUUAAAACACUAUGGCUGAGCAAGAAGAAACUUAUUGUCGACUGUGUGCCGAGCCCACGCCGAAAGAUCAGCUAAUAUAUGCAGACGAGGACGUAGCCAUCAACUCCAAGAUUGCUACAAAAAUGCUGUGGAUAAAUAUUGAUAUUUCUAACGCUAAUACCUUACCAACAACGAUAUGCUUCUCAUGUUUCGACCUACUAGAACGCACUUGGUCGUUCCUUCACACUGUUAGAAGCGCACAGGAGAAAUUAACGUCAAUAUUUCUGCCGAAAGUUAGUAAGGAAACCGACGAUACGUCUUCAGAUGUGAAGACUGAGAAUAAGUCUUCAGCCGGUAAACCGGUUGACAAGAACUGGCAAGAGUUUCAAGCUACGAAAACCGAAGAUCCUGCCAUCAAAAUUGACCCUGAAAACUUAGAAGUCGUGGGCACUGUUGAUCCAAAUACCCUAAUAGACAAUAUUACUGUCAAGGCUGAACAAGUGAGCGACAAUGAUUACCAUGUCAACGACUCUGAUGGCUUCAACACAACGGACAGCGACAUCCCGUUACUUCGUUCUGUGAAAAAGCGAAAGGUGAAAAAAAAGAAAAGGAUUAAAUAUGACAUUGAAGUUACGGUUGAUGACUUGUUAAAGGCUGAAGUGGAUGCUGAACCGUUGCCUUUAUCAUCGCAGAAUAUGACAUGGGAGGACUACAUGUGCCACUGCGCAAGCUGUGAUGCCUUUUGUAAGAAUAUCCAAUCUUUACGGCUACAUUCUUUACAAAUACAUACUCGUUGUUGUGUUUUUAAAUGCUCAGACUGUGGCAAGGUUAUUGCUAACUUUAAAAACUUUGUAAAUCAUGUACGUACACAUAAGAACAUUCUUCGUUACUGCUGUGAGUAUUGUAAUAAGCAGUUCACUUUAACGGCCCUUGUAAAGAAACAUCUUAACACCGUUCAUGGUAAUGUUUACUUAACAACUUGUCAAAACUGUGGAGCUGCAUUUGAUUCCGAAGAGCUGUUGCAAGAUCAUUUGUUAUUAUAUUCUAAAGGCUUAAAAAAGAGUAGGAAAAAAGAUAACUUUGACGAGUGUGACUUGAAAUGUAACGAGUGUGGUAAAGAAUUUAAGUCUAAAAGCAAUUUGCAACAACACAAAUUGGUGCACACACAACGGAGCAGGGACUUUUCUUGUCAUAUCUGUGGUAAGAUGUUCUUUACAAAAGGCACUUUAAGCACACAUAUGAGCACGCACGAAGACACAAAACCAUUUAAAUGUGAAUAUUGUCCGAUGGCGUUUCGUGCCCGUGGUAACUUACAAUCUCAUAUAAGUCUACACUCCGGUGCGAAGCCUUUUGUCUGCGAGCAAUGUGGGAAAUCAUUCCGGGUCAAACGCCACUUGAAGUCCCAUUCCAUAGUCCAUACAGACUUAAUGCCUUAUGUAUGUGAAUAUUGUACUAAAUCUUUCCGUUUUAAAACUAGAUUAAACUUGCAUUUAAGACAACAUACAGGUGCUAAGCCGUAUAACUGUGUUUAUUGUCAAAGAGAUUUUACUAACGGAUCUAACUUUAAGAAACAUAUGAAGAGACGUCAUAAUGUGGAUACGUCUAAAAAAAGAUAUAAUAAUAUUGUUGUAGAUAAUAACCAAGAAGGGACAGAGAGUGUAUAAAAUAAUACUCAUUAUUUAUAACAUAACAUAAGCUCACAACUAUAUCCCAAUUGGGGUGGUCAGAGGUACAUCCAUCGCAAGAUGAACUAAGUACCCACGCCUCACCGAGCUUUCUGUUAGACCAACGUGAUAGGUGAGCCGUAUCGCCGUCUGUAAUGGUCGAGAUAAUUUUGUUAGUGAAAUAUACACGCGUUAUACGUUUCACG